rnacentral:rRNA from 1 species
AGGGCGCACGGUGGAUGCCUUGGCACUAGAAGCCGAUGAAGGACGUGACUAACGACGAAAUGCUUUGGGGAGCUGUAAGUGAGCAAUGAUCCAGAGAUGUCCGAAUGGGGGAACCCGGCAGGUAAUGCCUGUCACUCAUUACUGUUAAGGUAAUGUAGAGGAAGACGCAGUGAACUGAAACAUCUAAGUAGCUGUAGGAAGAGAAAGCAAAAGCGAUUGCCUUAGUAGCGGCGAGCGAAACGGCAAGAGGGCAAACCGAAGAGUUUACUCUUCGGGGUUGUAGGACUGCAACGUGGACUUAAAGAUUAUAGAAGAACUACCUGGGAAGGUAGGCCAAAGAGAGUAAUAGCCUCGUAUUCGAAAUAGUCUUUAUACCUAGCAGUAUCCUGAGUACGGCGAGACACGAGAAAUCUCGUCGGAAUCUGGGAGGACCAUCUCCCAACCCUAAAUACUCUCUAGUGACCGAUAGUGAACCAGUACCGUGAGGGAAAGGUGAAAAGCACCCCGGGAGGGGAGUGAAAUAGAACCUGAAACCGUGUGCCUACAACAAGUUCGAGCCCGUUAAUGGGUGAGAGCGUGCCUUUUGUAGAAUGAACCGGCGAGUUACGAUAUGAUGCGAGGUUAAGUUGAAGAGACGGAGCCGUAGGGAAACCGAGUCUUAAUAGGGCGCAUUAGUAUCAUGUCGUAGACCCGAAACCAUGUGACCUACCCAUGAGCAGGUUGAAGGUGAGGUAAAACUCACUGGAGGACCGAACCAGGGCACGUUGAAAAGUGCUUGGAUGACUUGUGGGUAGCGGAGAAAUUCCAAACGAACUUGGAGAUAGCUGGUUCUCUCCGAAAUAGCUUUAGGGCUAGCGUCGAUGUUAAGUCUCUUGGAGGUAGAGCACUGUUUGGGUGAGGGGUCCAUCCCGGAUUACCAAUCUCAGAUAAACUCCGAAUGCCAAUGAGAUAUAAUCGGCAGUCAGACUGCGAGUGCUAAGAUCCGUAGUCGAAAGGGAAACAGCCCAGACCACCAGCUAAGGUCCCAAAAUAUAUGUUAAGUGGAAAAGGAUGUGGGGUUGCACAGACAACUAGGAUGUUAGCUUAGAAGCAGCUAUUCAUUCAAAGAGUGCGUAAUAGCUCACUAGUCGAGUGACCCUGCGCCGAAAAUGUACCGGGGCUAAAACAUAUUACCGAAGCUGUGGAUACCUUUAUAGGUAUGGUAGGAGAGCGUUCUAUGUGCGAAGAAGGUGUACCGUGAGGAGUGCUGGAGCGCAUAGAAGUGAGAAUGCCGGUAUGAGUAGCGAAAGACAGGUGAGAAUCCUGUCCACCGUAAGACUAAGGUUUCCAGGGGAAGGCUCGUCCGCCCUGGGUUAGUCGGGACCUAAGGAGAGACCGAAAGGUGUAUCCGAUGGACAACAGGUUGAUAUUCCUGUACUAGAGUAUAUAGUGAUGGAGGGACGCAGUAGGCUAACUAAACCAGACGAUUGGAAGUGUCUGGCCAAGCAGUGAGGUGUGAUAUGAGUCAAAUGCUUAUAUCUUUAACAUUGAGCUGUGAUGGGGAGCGAAGUUUAGUAGCGAAGUUAGUGAUGUCACACUGCCGAGAAAAGCUUCUAGCGUUAAUUAUACUCUACCCGUACCGCAAACCGACACAGGUAGUCGAGGCGAGUAGCCUCAGGUGAGCGAGAGAACUCUCGUUAAGGAACUCGGCAAAAUGGCCCCGUAACUUCGGGAGAAGGGGCGCUGACUGAUGGUCAGCCGCAGUGAAUAGGCCCAAGCAACUGUUUAUCAAAAACACAGCUCUCUGCUAAAUCGUAAGAUGAUGUAUAGGGGGUGACGCCUGCCCGGUGCUGGAAGGUUAAGAGGAGUGCUUAGCGUAAGCGAAGGCAUGAAUUGAAGCCCCAGUAAACGGCGGCCGUAACUAUAACGGUCCUAAGGUAGCGAAAUUCCUUGUCGGGUAAGUUCCGACCCGCACGAAAGGCGUAAUGAUUUGGGCACUGUCUCAACGAGAGACUCGGUGAAAUUUUAGUACCUGUGAAGAUGCAGGUUACCCGCGACAGGACGGAAAGACCCCAUGGAGCUUUACUGCAGUUUGAUAUUGAGUAUCUGUACCACAUGUACAGGAUAGGUAGGAGCCUAUGACCUCGGGACGCCAGUUUCGAGUGAGGCGUUGUUGGGAUACUACCCUUGUGUUAUGGCUACUCUAACCCAGAUAGGUUAUCCCUAUCGGAGACAGUGUCUGACGGGCAGUUUGACUGGGGCGGUCGCCUCCUAAAAGGUAACG